rnacentral:rRNA from 1 species
AGUGAACGCUGGCGGUAGGCCUAACACAUGCAAGUCGAACGGCAGCACAGUAAGAGCUUGCUCUUACGGGUGGCGAGUGGCGGACGGGUGAGGAAUACAUCGGACUCUACUUUUUCGUGGGGGAUAACGUAGGGAAACUUACGCUAAUACCGCAUACGACCUACGGGUGAAAGCAGGGGACCUUCGGACCUUGCGCGAUUGAAUGAGCCGAUGUCGGAUUAGCUAGUUGGCGGGGUAAAGGCCCACCAAGGCGACGAUCCGUAGGUGGUCUGAGAGGAUGAUCAGCCACACUGGAACUGAGACACGGUCCAGACUCCUACGGGGGGCAGCAGUGGGGAAUAUUGGACAAUGGGCGCAAGCCUGAUCCAGCCAUACCGCGUGGGUGAAGAAGGCCUUCGGGUUGUAAAGCCCUUUUGUUGGGAAAGAAAAGCAGCAGGUUAAUACCCCGCUAUUCUGACGGUACCCAAAGAAUAAGCACCGGCUAACUUCGUG